GCCUGGGUGGCGGAAUUGGUAGACGCCAGGGAUUUAAAAUCCCUUGUAUCUUAGAUACGUGCGGGUUCGAUUCCCGCCCUGGGCACCA
rnacentral:tRNA from 1 species